rnacentral:rRNA from 1 species
AACGAACGCUGGCGGCAUGCCUAACACAUGCAAGUCGAACGAGGUGCUUUUGUAGCAAUACGGAAGUAUCCUAGUGGCGAACGGGUGAGUAACGCGUUGGUGACCUGCCCCGAAGUGUGGGAUAACAGUCCGAAAGGAUUGCUAAUACCGCAUGUGGUUUUCGGCUUCAGAAACCGAUCUCUAAAGCAGCAAUGCGCUUCGGGAGGGGCCUGCGUCCCAUCAGCUAGUUGGUAGGGUAACGGCCUACCAAGGCUACGACGGGUAGGGGACCUGAGAGGGUGACCCCCCACAAUGGAACUGAAACACGGUCCAUACACCUACGGGAGGCAG